rnacentral:tRNA from 2 species
UGGGGUGUGGUGCAAUGGUAGCACACCGGCCUUUGGAGCCGAGAAUGGAGGUUCGAAUCCUCCCGCCCCAG